rnacentral:rRNA from 1 species
AUGGCGGGCCGCGACGGAUUCGAGGACGACGACUUCAACCUCCUGCAGUCGUCGCCACCGCGUCGUCCGUCGCCGCCGCCGGAGAAGGAGGAGGCCGGACCCGGACCCAUGGCUGGCCGCGACGGAUUCGAGGACGACGACGUCAACCGCCUGCAGUCGCCGCCACCGCGUCGUCCAUCGCCGCCUUCGAAGAAGGAGGAGGCCGGACCCAUGGCGGGCCAAGACGGAUUCGAGGACGGCGACGUCAACCGCCCACAUUCGUCGCCACCGCGACGUCCAUGGCCGCUGUCGGAGAAGGAGGAGGCCGGACCCAUGGCGGGCCGCAACGACUUCGAGGACGACGACGUCAACCCCUUCGCCGGAGGAAGCGUUCCCCCUGCCCCCAGUUCUCGGCUCUCACCUCUCUCCCACGAGCCAGCGGGUUUUUAUAAUGUGGACAUUCCUAUGGAUUCAACUAAGGAUGUGAAGAAAAAGGAGAAAGAGCUCAAGGCAAUGGAACCUGAGACAAACAAACGAGAAAAGGUCGUCCUCGGUGAAACACCACAGUUUGAUGAUAAUUUCCUAGUCCUUGCUUCCUUUGAGGUUUUCAUUCUUAAUGCUGGUCUUGUCCCUGUCGCACCACCCCGAGCUGUGGAGGGCGGCUCUGAUGAUCCCGACCAAGAGUUCGCCGGUGAGCCCGCUCUGUAUCUGGCGGUGGUCCAAGACGGCCACACCAUCGACAUUGCGCGGCUGCUAUUCCACGGCGGCGAGCCUGCGCUGGAAGCUGACAAGGCCGAGGACUACUAUGCGGCGGCGGAAUUCAGUUCUAGCGAAGACGACCAGUCCCUCCCAUUGACCCUUGACGACUAUGCGAUGGUGAAAUCCAACUGGAGCAAUGAUGACUGGGCCCUCCCAUCAACAGGUGGUGCUAUGUCAUUUUUGAGAGGGCUGGGGUGCAAGGAGAACUUGGGGAUUGGGGACUGGGACUGGGAUGGGGAUGGGGCGGAUGAGGAUGAGGAUGAGGAUGGGGAUGGGGAGGAUGGGGAUGGGGAUGAGGAGGAUGAGGAUGAAGAUGGGGAUGGGGAGGAUGAGGAUGAGGAUGAGGAUGAGGAUCGGGAUGAGGAUGGAUCAAUUUCUGGAGGUUAUGAUAGUGGUGAUGAUUCAGAAUGCAGCAAGGAGGAUGGAGAUGAGGAGCAUGGGGAUACUGACCAAGAUCUGAUUAAGCUUCGUAUUUGGCCAGCGCAGAAGCACCUGUUGCUUAAAUUUUUUAGUGGCAAGCAAUGGAAAUUAACAAAAGCCUACCGCCUAAUCUGGUUGAAACGUGAUGAAUUGGAAGAGCUAUGCAAGUUUUCUCUUAAAAUGGAUGGUCCUAUUCCUGCUCCCUUUACCACAGUUUUCAAAAAUGCGAACAGUUCAAUCGAUUUUGAAACGAACGUUCCUUCUGAAACUGUUGAUGAUCUUCUAGCUUGUUUGAAACCGUCAAUCAACAGUUUCCAUGUUUGUAAAAAACUUGGCAAAGCUAGCGACUGCAAAAAUUUUAAGUGCCUUAUUUCGGGUAGUAAAUGUGCUGUUAAAUGCAUCCCUCUGCGUGCAUCUUGCUUCGAAGAGCCAAGCACACUGACGGACGUGCUUUUGCCUGAAAAGUUUGCCUCAAUUCCGGAUAGGCGGAAACUUUUCGAAGAGAUAGUAAGAGGUGUCAAAACACUGCAUCGUGAAUUUAUUGUUCACCAGGAUCUUAAGCCAGAUAACAUAUUCCUGGGCUCUGAUUAUGAAGUCCGAAUUGGAGACUUUGGAGAUGCCUGUUGUGGCCAAGACGAGCUCGGAAAAUAUGGCGGUACGCCUAAUUGUGGCACAAAAAGUUAUUUGGCGCCAGAGCUUGACAGUGAUGAGAAGAUAACUGAGAAGGUUGACAUUUACUCAGUCGGUGUAAUGUUUUUUGAGCUGCUGACACGAUUUGGGUCUUUAUUGGAGAGAGCGUUGGCAUUUGAGGAACUGAGAGAUAAAGGGCCUCCAGAUGGCUGGAAGGGUGAUUAUGAGGGCGACCGCGAACUUUAUGGUAGAAUGACCGCUUUGAAACCUGCUGACCGGCCUUCGUUGGAUGAGAUCCUGGCGGACCCACAUGUCCGAGCCAUAUGCACUUGGGGAGACGGCUGGCACCACCUGACGACCGUUGCUAAGCAAACACUUGGCACAAUCAUGGAGCCAAGUUUCUGUGAUGUUGUGGUGGAAUCCGAGAUAAAGUGCAUUCUGCACCGGCAGAGGCCCAACAAGAUGGUGGCUUUUGAAGGCAUUGACACCGGGAGGAGAUUCCUAGGAUGUGUUGCCCAGUUCACUGCAACUGAAUUGUGA